CACGACCUAAUGCAUUAAUGGAAGUACAAAUGCCAGUGAUUAAGAACGCCGAAUGCAAAAUAGCUUAUUCCAAAUUUCCUAAUGCACCUGAUAUCACUGAUGGUAUAAUAUGCGCCGAACAUGCUCAGGGUGGAGAGGAUUCUUGUACGGCUGACCGCGGCGGACCACUGCUGAUACAACAUGAAUUAACCUCGUAUUUAAUAGGUAUUGUGUCUUAUGCUUAUAAGUGCGGCACAGCUGGGUAUCCCAGCGUUUACACUAGGGUCACAUCGUACCUUGACUUCAUUCUCCAAGCGAUGCAAUAAUAUGAUAUUACUGUUCCAUAAAUAUCAUUGUGUAAAAAACGUAAAGUUGGAUUUUCUUAUUGUGGAGAUAAGAAACAGCUCAAAUUUACAUUGUUUUGUACGUUACAAAUUAUAGGCUUAAAAUGUACGAAAUGUAACUUUGAAACGACACUAAUUUUUUACGCACGAUAAACCUCCACGACUUAGGAAAACAGUGCAGGAUGCUGUGAUUCGUUUCUUGUGGUCGGAGGUUAUGUUUGAUGCCUAUAUUUAUCAAAGAUUUAAUGCACAUUAUGGAGAAAGUGUUUUGUCACGAAGUGUGUUUGAAUGGGCACAAAAGUUCAAAGAAGAUCGCACGAGUGUUAUGAAAAAACAGCUGGACGCCCGUCCACAUCCACGAUGACAACAUUGAACGUGCUCAUGAACUUAUGCUCUAUGGAAUAGACGAGUGACACUGGAUAAUGUGGCAAAUCAUUUGCAAAUCAGCCACGGCUCUGCUUAUGCAAUAGUGCACGACAGAUUUGGAUUUUAAAAAGUUUGUGCGAGAUGGAUGCCGAAAAAGCUGAUGAAAAGGUGAAGACGACGAUGCAUUCGUGGUUCGCAGCUCAGCCCAAAACAUUUUUUAAUGAGAAAAUAUAAAGGUCCUUCGGCAAAUGGACAAAGUGUAUACAGAAAUCGAGUGAUUAUGUCAAAAAAUGAUGUAUGUCUUUUUUGACAAUUGCUUAAAAUAAAUUCUACACCGACAGAGCGGGCUGUUAAUCUAGAGGCUGGAGUACAAAGAAGUGGCACAAUGAUGUGGGCUGAUGACAUUUAUAAUUAUCAAGGAAUCACCCCUACAUUCGCUCAGAAUUUUAAUGAAACUGUCCCUUGGGAAGGAAGAACUGAUACCUUGAUAUCACGGUUUGUACAUCCUAUAUAUACGACAAAUUUUAGAACAUUAUAUAACGAAGAACCAGAUCGUCGUGGCCAUGUGAUGUGAAUAAAAGGACUUGAAUUUGAUGAUAUUUUUAUAAUGUUAGAUAACAUAACUAAGUAUCUUCACAGUAAGAUAGGAUGACAUGGUUUACAUGAUCUUAAUGUUGUUCACUCGAGUGAUGAUAUUAUAAGGAAAAGUGUAAUAUCACAGGAUAUUUAUGUUUAGUAACCAGUAAUUCAGAGAUUGGUAUUCAUGGUUACUAUAACGAGGCUGUAGAAACGCACCCUUUCUUCUUUGCAAAUGGUCCUGUAUUUAUGUCUAAGCCGAAACUGGAACCUCUGAAUAAUUUAGAUUUAUUCUUGUUAUUUUCUAAAAUACUUAUCUACAGUAUACCAUAAGGAAUGAUACCGUAUCGCACCUAAUCAAGUGCCUUAAGAAACAUCAACAGGAUAUCACAGUAAUCCCUUAUCGACUGAUAUUUGUAGCCACUACAAUAUCUAUGACACUGGUAGUAAUUAUAAGAACAAUAAUGAUGUUCUAUAAGAGGAAAUGAUGAUUAGGAACAAAAACUUACAGGAGAUAUCAUGCGGUGGAUGGAUAAUAUGUAAAAAAUAUUAAGCAGUAUAUGAAUUUUCAUAUUGCGUAGAGAUAACAAAAUGAAUUUUAAAAAAUGUCGACAUGGUAAUAAGAAAUAGCAUCAUGACAAAGAAUAUAUAAACACAGUUUCAUUUUUUAUAAAUAAAAAUUUGUUGUUCCAGAUUUUGAAAUAUAGUGAAACGUUUAAUUAGUAUCUUAAUAUCUUUAAAUAAUUAUUAUUUUAGAAUCAAUUGUAAUUGUAUCAUACGUACUUUUGAAUUCGUGCAAGAACAUAUGUUAUUUUGAAGUAGUUAUUAUUAGGAAAUUGUUAGACGCGAACAGUAUGCGAAAAGUUAGUAUGUAGUGUAAUAAUUAUCAAUCAAAGCACAAGAAUUAAAUUCUUUAGGAAAAAAUUUCCGGAAUUUCUUAUUUACAUGAUUAUAAAGAAAUCCAUAACAAAAAGGAGCUGCUUUCUAAUACUUCUCUUCCUUGUAAUGCCUACGUUAACAAUAACGAGGUUCGACUUUUUGUUUUUAGAGGGAUACUGGAAAAUUUGAAAGUACAGUACCAUUGGGAAGAAAAUCACGAUAUUGAAAACGAUAUUUGCAAAUUGAACAAUAUUCC